CACGUAGGGUGCGAGCGUUGUCCGGAAUUAUUGGGCGUAAAGAGCUCGUAGGCGGUGUGUCGCGUCGGCCGUGAAAACCUGCAGCUUAACUGUGGGCUUGCGGUCGAUACGGGCAUCACUGGAGUUCGGCAGGGGAGACUGGAAUUCCUGGUGUAGCGGUGAAAUGCGCAGAUAUCGGGAGGAACACCUAUGGCGAAGGCAGCUCGCUGGGACGUUACUGACGCUGACGGACGCGACAGCGUGGGGGAGCAAACAGG
rnacentral:rRNA from 1 species